UGGAUUAAGAGCUUGCUCUUAUGAAGUUAGCGGCGGACGGGUGAGUAACACGUGGGUAACCUGCCCAUAAGACUGGGAUAACUCCGGGAAACCGGGGCUAAUACCGGAUAACAUUUUGAACUGCAUGGUUCGAAAUGAAAGGCGGCUUCGGCUGUCACUUAUGGAUGGACCCGCGUCGCAUUAGCUAGUUGGUGAGGUAACGGCUCACCAAGGCAACGAUGCGUAGCCGACCUGAGAGGGUGAUCGGCCACUGGGACUGAGACACGGCCCAGACUCCUACGGGAGGCAGCAGUAGGGAAUCUUCCGCUGGACGAAAGUCUGACGGAGCAACGCCGCGUGAGUGAUGAAGGCUUUCGGGUCGUAAAACUCUGUUGUUAGGGAAGAACAAGUGCUAGUUGAAUAAGCUGGCACCUUGACGGUACCUAACCAGAAAGCCACGGCUAACUACGUGCCAGCAGCCGCGGUAAUACGUAGGUGGCAAGCGUUAUCCGGAAUUAUUGGGCGUAAAGCGCGCGCAGGUGGUUUCUUAAGUCUGAUGUGAAAGCCCACGGCUCAACCGUGGAGGGUCAUUGGAAACUGGGAGACUUGAGUGCAG
rnacentral:rRNA from 1 species